CCCUUGCAACCCUGACUUUUGAUGACGCAGGUGUAGCUGGUAUGUACAGUUCGUGUUUAGUCAGGUCUGAAGAAGGGCAGGACCCUAAUGGCUGCUUUUGACUCCUUCAUUGAGAUGCAGAUGACAAUUAGGGGACAUUGUCCUCCUGGCCAAGCAAUUCACCCUAAAACUGUCUCCCUGUGUUUACGUGCCGUGUGUGUGUGUGUGUUUGUUCUCGCUCACUCUCUCUUUCUUGUCGAGCCCCCCUACAGCGAGCUGAAAUGUUGAAAUUUAAAUAUGCCAAAGUUUGGGCAGAUUGCCCGACUCUCAGUGAGAAAAAACUGAAUGAAAAACAAGAAGAAGAAAAAAAAAAAAAAAAAAAAAAAACAGGCUAACAGCUUACAAAAACAUGAAGUGCAAAGCCAAAAUAUGUCUGGUGGUUCUGCCCCCUCAGGCCCUGGGGUAUCGUGGGAAGGAUAAAUAAAGAUGGUCUUCAGGCGGAAAUGUGGUGCGCUGUAGCUAUGGCUGGGCCCACUGCCGACAUGGGCACGCUGGCGUGUAUCUUCUGAUAUGUUUAACAUGCACACGUAUACUAGAAAAAAAACAAAGAGGGGCUUAGGAGGGGCCGAGGCCUGUGGGUAUGAAGUGGACGGGCAGAGUCGUUAGUUGAAACUUCUGUGCAUCACAAACAGCACCACCCUGCAUAAGCACAGCACUAAUAAUAGCACUCCAUUACACACGCAUUGUCAGAAAAUCAUCUCAAGGUUAGCACGUCACAAAAAUCCAGACUGUCAGGCGAGGGAAGAGACAAACAAACAGAAAUAAAAAUAGACGGGUGGACAAGCCUGUCAAUACAGAAUUGAGCAGGGGCAUUAGAAAUGGCUUGCAGAAGGAAUUCAAGCAAAAUCUUUAAUUGUGUCCUUACUGGACCCACUGGUGGGGCCGGUCAAGAUGGCAUUUAAACAGUCAGUUUAGCCAGGCCAGGGUGGUUUCUUGGGUUUAUCGUGGCUUCUUUGGAAUAUACUGUCAGGCUGGCAUGGACAUUUUAGCUGGUCAUCUAAUUGUGGUGGACAUACUAGAGUGGUUACUUGAACUGGUCAUACUGGGAUAAUUACUGUAUGAUGUUUGUCUUAACAUAACGGCUGCUACCUUGGUUUAAAGGCUACUUGGAUUGGUCAAUUGGCUCAUAUUAAAGCUGAUGCUUUCUGAUGGUCACUUUUGGUCUUUAUGGGGUGAUUGUUACAUGAUGUUGGUCAUAACACAAUGGCUGUUGCAACCAGUCAUAAUGGAAAGCUACUUGAAUUGGUCAGUUUUCCGAUGUUGAAUGCUUUUUACUGGUCAGUUUGGUCUUAGUGGGAAGGCUGCUGCCUCAGCUGCUCAGAUGGGCCACUCUGUUCAAGUCUGGUGUAAACGAGGGGACAUACCUAGUUACUGAAACUGGUCAGAGUGAACUGGAGAAUCUGGCCAUACUGGUAAAGAACUAAAGAAUCAGUCUGAUGAGAUCAGGCCAUUCAGCUCCACAGGCUUGUCCAUCGGAAUUGUCUAAUAUAACAUCAAGUUGAGAUUUGAAGGUCCCUAAAGUCCUGCUUUUCACAAUGCUACUGUCCAUGCUGUCAAGUAAUCAGACUGGUCAUAACUGAGUGGUCUGUAAGUGGUCAGUCAUCAUGCUGGCUGUUGAAACUGUUUGGACUAAACUGGAGAAGCUGGCCGCAUUGGAAUAGCUAAAGGGUCUGUCAGGGUUAGUCCAGCUGAAGAUGUCUGAAGGGUCUCAGGUUGGUUAAACCAGACAGUUUAGCCAUUCUGCUGACACUGUUCCAGUUAAUAAGACUGGUCAUCCCAUCCCAUAAUGGUCACUUAUAUGACAUAUGAAGCAUUAGUUCAUCAUGCCGGCAUGACUGUUGUCACUGGUUGGACUAGACUGAGAAUUUGACCGUACUGGAAUAGCUGAAGGGUCUGUCAGUGUUGGUCCACCUAGAAGGAAUUGGUGGGCCUAUUCGGGUGGGUCAUUUUAAAGCAUCUCCUCAAAUUGGUCAUCCUGUCAAUACUGAGGUGGGUUUAAGUUGACCAUUCUGGCAUAGCUGCUUAAUGUUGGUCAGCUUCAACUAAAAAGAUUGGUCAUUUGAAAAUUGGUGUUAAUGAAGGACCUUAAAUUCUUCCAUCAUGCUAUCUGUUAAAACUGGUUGGACUAAACGGGAGAAUUUGGCGAUACUGGAAUAGCCGAAGGGUCUGCUAGUGAUAGUCCAACUGAACAUGACUGAGGGGCUGCUCAGGUGGCUCAUUCUGCAUUGUCCCCUUGUCAUCCUCGCUGUACUGGGAAGGUUAGGUUGGUUUGGUUAAGCUGACCAUUCCAGCAUAGCUGCUUUCAAGUUAGUCAGCAUUUUAGGAAGGAUGCUUCAGCUAACCUGACUGGUUAUUCCAAAGUGGUCAUUAAGUGACCUUAAGUUGGCUCAUUGUGCUGGCAUGGCUGCUGAAACUGGUUGAACUAAACUGGAGAAGCUAAAGGGUCUGUCAGGGUUAGUCCAAGUGAAGAUGUCU